AGCAGUCGCCGCGGGAAUACGUAGGGUGCAAGCGUUAAUCGGAAUUACUGGGCGUAAAGCGUGCGCAGGCGGUUUGUUAAGACAGAUGUGAAAUCCCCGGGCUCAACCUGGGAACUGCAUUUGUGACUGGCAAGCUAGAGUCUGGCAGAGGGGGGUGGAAUUCCGCGUGUAGCAGUGAAAUGCGUAGAUAUGCGGAGGAACACCGAUGGCGAAGGCAGCCCCCUGGGCCAACACUGACGCUCAUGCACGAAAGCGUGGGGAGCAAACAGGAUUAGAUACCCCAGUAGUCCCUGUCUCUUAUAA
rnacentral:rRNA from 1 species